rnacentral:rRNA from 1 species
UAGGGAAUCUUCCGCAAUGGACGCAAGUCUGACGGAGCAACGCCGCGUGAGUGAAGAAGGAUUUCGGUUCGUAAAACUCUGUUGUUAGAGAAGAACAGCGCAUAGAGUAACUGUUAUGCGUGUGACGGUAUCUAACCAGAAAGUCACGGCUAACUACGUGCCAGCAGCCGCGGUAAUACGUAGGUGGCAAGCGUUGUCCGGAUUUAUUGGGCGUAAAGCGAGCGCAGGCGGUCAAUUAAGUCUGAUGUGAAAGCCCCCGGCUCAACCGGGGAGGGUCAUUGGAAACUGGUUGACUUGAGUGCAGAAGAGGAGAGUGGAAUUCCAUGUGUAGCGGUGAAAUGCGUAGAUAUAUGGAGGAACACCAGUGGCGAAGGCGACUCUCUGGUCUGUAACUGACGCUGAGGCUCGAAAGCGUGGGGAGCGAACAGG